AGUGAACGCUGGCGGUAGGCCUAACACAUGCAAGUCGAACGGCAGCACAGUAAGUUCUUGCUCUUACGGUUGGCGAGUGUCGGACGGGUGAGGAAUACAUCGGAAUCUACUUUUUCGUGGGUGUUUACGUAGGGUAACUUACGCUAAUACCGCAUACGACCUACGGUUGAAAGCCGUUGAUCUUCGGACCUUUCGCGAUUGCAUGAGCCGAUGUCGGAUUAGCUAGUUGGCGGGGUAAAUGCCCACGAAGGCGACGAUCCGUAGCUGGUCUGAGAGGAUGAUCAGCGACACUGGAACAGAGACACGGUCAAGACUACGACGGGAGGCAGCAGUGGGGAAUAUUGGAGAAUGGGCGAAAGCAUGAUACAGACAUACCGCGUGGGAGAAGAAGGAGGGCGGGUUGUAAAGCCAUUUUGUUGGGAAAGAAAAGAAGAAGGUUAAUAAAAAGAUGGAAUGACGGUACCCAAAGAAGAAGCACCGGCUAACUACGUG
rnacentral:rRNA from 1 species